rnacentral:lncRNA from 1 species
CCAGCUGUUAUGGGGAAUGAUGCUGCAGAAGGACUGCUUAGUUUGGAGCAUUUCUAUUCCAGUGGUGCAAUGUCCCUCCUCCCUUUCAGGCAGAUAUGUGCUGAGUUCCUAGGAGCAAGCACCAUUUCUUAACCUGUUUUAGAAGAGCUUGUUUUGAUGUUCCUCUCAAUGCUCUGUUGCAUGAAAUUAAAGUGAAACCCUGCUGUUACUUUACAAAAGAAGAAACAAAUAUGUUCCUAUCUGAAGAUAAAGAAAGCUGGCAUUAACAGAGUAAUUAUUACAGAAUGGACCCACCACAGGGAAAUAAAUUGAGAGUAAAGAAACGUGUCUCAUCUCAAGAUGAUAUGAAAGAUACUUCUGAAGUUAUCUUAAGCAUUUCACUGCUCCAUGACUCUUGCAAAGAGGCCUGUUUUUUCAGACUGCCUUUAUCAGUUAUCCAUCAUGACCACGUCUUUCUGGACAGGACUCUUUGGGGGUGCAGUGCUGCCCUGUCAAGAAGAUGGCUUGUAUCCUGUGGUGUAUACAGAAACAACUAA